CUACGUUACCAUGGCAUUAGAAUUUUGACUCAGCACUACAUGAAUUGUGUGAUCACUCUGGCUCUGUGAAACCAGAAACCUCCCCUCUCCUUGUCCAUUGCUUUGUCCCCAAAGAGGAAUGUUGAGAUGGCUAAAUAUGUGCUCAACAAGAGAACAGGUGCUUGUCAUUUUCUUUUUUUUUAAGAUUAUUUAUUUGAAAGUCAGAUUUACAUAGAGAGAGAAGGAGAGGCAGAGAGAGAGAGAAAGAGGUUUUCCAUCCUCUGGUUUACUCCCCAAAUAGCUGCAACAGCCAGAGCUGGGCUGAUCCGAAGUCAGGAGCCAGGAACCUCUCUGGAUCUCCCACAUGGGUGCAGGGGCCCAAGGACUUGGGCCAUCUUCUACUGCUUUACCAGGCCACAGCAGAGAGCUGGAUCUGAAGUGGAGCGGCCAGGACUCGAACUGGUGCCCAUAUGGGAUACUGGCACUGCAGGCAGUGGCUUUACCUGCUAUGCCACAGUACUGGCCCCCAAGUGCUUGUUAUUUUCUUAAGUUGUCUUUCCUUCUCCAAAAUCAUAUCCAGGGAAAAAAAGGAGUGACCCUAAAUUAUAUAAAAUUGAGAAGCAAAUGAACCUCAUUUGAAUAACUGAGCCAUCUUGCAACUUUCAAAAAAAAUUGAUACCCGAAUACUCAAUUCAGAUUUUGUUUACGCACUGUUUUCUUGUUCGAGGCCUUGGAAAUUUCAAUAAUUGCAUGUCGUACCAUGUCAGAAGCAGCAGUAUUGGGUCCCAGUGGAGGUGGCCCAGACAUCAGCUGUGCCCUGUGGUCUUGUACAAGUCAGCUUCUUUGUGCAUUUGGGUCAGCUUUUGGGACAAGAGGCACCACAGGAGUCUUCCAGUAACACUCAAGUGGGUACAUAGGAGAGAGCAAGUGCAUCUACAAGUACCAAGUACAUUGGAGAAAUUCUGAAGUGUUCGGUAAGUUUUAGAACACGUUCCUGUGAGUUAGGGCUAGGCUGGAAGCUCCAGUCCCCUUCCAGAAGGGCACUUCCUCCUUUUGUGUCAUCCAAAUUUUCUCAUUCCCAGAUAAGAACUUCAAUUACUUUCUUUUGUUAAAAGUCUCGAUGCUUCCUGGUAACUGUCUCUGUGUACUUCCCGGAAGUAUGAACUAAGCCAUCACAAACAUUGGGGUGCACCACCUGGUGUGGGUGAAUACUUAGUCCAAGAAGGCUGCUCUAACGCCUGUCCACUAGUAUUAUGCGUGUGUGUGUGUGUGUGUGUGUGUGUGUGUUUCUUGCAGGAAGAUAGAAAACACAGAUAGAAAAAGAGAAGAAAUAAACACCGGAAAUCCACUACUCAGACAGAUAACGGGUGUACAUCCUUUAGGUCUGUACACACAUUGACAUCUGUUUAUCUUUUUGCCUAUUUAUUUAGAGGAGUUUAGAUUUAUGGGAAAAUAAGCGGGAAAUACGGCAUUCUCAGGAAAUCCCUCCCAGCUCCCUCUGCUCCUUCCCUAUCAUCUCACGGGGGUGAGGUGUGCUCACUACUCACUGUCAGCCUGCCCUGACCCCCACGGUCGCCCAAGGCCAGCUUUGACAUUAACGGUUCCCGUGGUCGGGACAAAGAUGCACUGACCCUGGACCCUGGUGUCACACAGAGCAUACUCAGAGUUAGCAGCACCCGGCCUACUGACCCCUGGCAACCGUGGAUCUCUUCCUGUUUCCACAGUUCCGCCUGUGCCAAAAACAAGACAAAAAAUCGCAGAGCUGGACCCCUGCAGAAUGUGGCCUUUCUAGAUUGCCUUCUUUUACUUCUGUGAUGGGCAUUUACCUUUGCACCACAGAAACUCUUCUCUCCAUGGCUAUGUAGCUCCUGUCUUCUCUUUGCUGAAUAACGCUCGGUUGUCUGGACGUGCCAGGGUUGGUUUAUCCAUUCACCUGCUGAAGAGCAUCUUGGUUGCUUCCACAUUGUGGAAGAACGAACCAAGUCAUCUUAACCACAGGGGUGCACAGCCUAGUGUGGGUGGAUAACAAGAAGUCUCGGGUGAGGGUAUCUUUAGUCUGUAAGAUAUCACCACACUCUAUUCUAGAGCGGCUGCACCGUUUGCUCCCAGCACUUGGGAAUGGAAGCUCCCUGUUGUCCCACAUCCUUGCCGGCUUGGAGGGUUCCCAGAGGUCUGGGGUUUGGUCAUUCCAAUAGGUAGGAAGAGCUUUCUCAUUGUUGUUUUAAUUUGCAUUUCCCUGAUGACCUAUGAUAUGUGGGGCACCUUUUCAUUUAUUUAUUUGCCAUCUGUGUAUCUUUGGUGAGGUGUCCAGGUCUUGGGCUCAUUUUGUAGUUGACUAGUUUGCUUUCUUUUUUUAAAAAAAGAUUUAUUUUAUUUAUUUGAAAGGCAGAGUUACAGAGAGGCAAAGGAAGAGAGAGAGAGAAAGAGAGAAAGAGAGAGAGAGAGAAAGAGAGAGAAAAAGAGAGAGGUCUUCCAUCGGCUGGUUCCUCCCCAAAUGUCCACAACAACCAGGGCGAGGCCAGGCUGAAGCCGGGAGCCAGAAGCUCCAUCCAGGUCUCCCAAGUGAGUGGCGGGGCCCAAGCACUCGAGCCUUCAUCUGCUGCCUCCCAGGCCCAGGCAGCUGAAUUGGAAGCAUGGAGCAGUUAGGACUCCAACCUAAGGCCUGUGGGCAUCCCAAACAGCGGCUUAGCCCUCUGUGCCAUAGUGCCUGCCCCCACCUCGUGCAUUUUGGAUACCAGUCCUUCAUUAGAUAUUUGCUUGGCAAAUGUGUUCUCCCCAUCUGUGACUUGUCUUUUCAUUGUUUAAAUGGUAUCUUUUGCAGAGCAGAAUUUUCUUUUAAUGAAGUCUAACUUACCAACUUGCUUUUUUUCAUCGAUCAUCAUUUUGGUGCUCUUUGAAAAAUCAUUUUUCUGGGGCCAGCAUUGUGAUGUAGCAGGUGAAGCCACCUCCUGCAAUGCCAGCAUCCCAUGUGGGUGGUGGUGGUUCGAGUCCCAGCUGCUCCACUUCCAAUUCAGCUCCCUGCUAAUGGCCUGGGAAAAGCAGCAGAAGAUGGCCCAAGUAUUUUGGCUUCUGCCACUCACAUGGGAGACCUGGAAGAAGUUCCUGGCUCCUGGCUUCCGCCUGGACCAGCCCUGGCCAUUGAGGCCAAUUGGGGAAUGAACCAGCUGAUGGUAGACCACUCUCUCUCUGUCUCUGUCUCUGUCUCUUCCUUCCUAUCUAAACUCUGCCUUUUCAGUAAAUUUCUUUUUUAAAAGGUGUUAGCUAAAUGGCUCAAUAACCAUGAUGUUCUGUCUUGAAGAACAGGAUCACAGUUUUCUGCGAGCAACCAAGGUUCUCCCAUCUCUGCACCAUAGCUCAGUGUGUCAGCUCGCAGGCCUGUUGGAACUUGCUUCAUGGCCUCUACAACCGAUCUUGAUGAAGUCUCUAAAUGGAGGCAGUUCAAGACAAGCUCAGCUCCAACUGCACGCCGAUAAUUGACCUGUGCUCAGAGCAAUGGCAGCCCCAGGCCCAUACAUGCUGCUGCUAUAUUGUUUUGCAUCAUUGCCUUUGAUUCGCUGCCCAUGUCACAGCGAAGGCAAGACAUCUCUCUAGGAACUGGCUUCCCACUUGCCUGGUGAUUGAGAGAAAUCUUACAGUUUUCCCAUUAAUUGCUUUUUUUUUUAACCUUACUUUAAAAAGACCUUAAAUAGCAAUUCUACUCAACUGUGUACAAGUUGAAUAGUGACUAUGGAAAAAAGCCACCGUUGACAUUUAUUUCAGCAAGCUAACAAAGCAUGCCAGAGUAUUUGUGCCUUCAGAGCCUUACUUUUCAUGGUGCUGUUGUUAGGGGUGAAACGGCAGAGAAAAGAUUACCUUGGUUCUUUGUCUCCAUCGGAAGAAGAAUUUCCAAGUGAACAAGGCAGAGAGAAAAACAAGAUUUAUUUAAGUCAGAGUGGCCAGGGGGAGGGGGGUGGCUCAGAGAGAGGCACAACCCAAAGAAGCUGGCUGUAGUGGGGUUUUUAAGCACAAUUUUGGGGAAUAAAAAAAAGAAAAAAAAAACUUGUCAAUCAACUUGACAAUCAGUAACAAGGCAAAAGCUAUCAAAAAACCUGGUAAAUCAUCUAUUUGUCUUGUCUGGCUUGCUCAUGAUGAACGGGAGAGGUAUCUUGUUUUUCCAGUAAACUGUGAGCUCAGAAGGGCAGAGUCACCACUCCCUUGCUAUUCUCAUGAUAACAUUGGAAGCUCCCAAGGGCUGGAGAAGGCACAUUCCACUUUGCUAAAGGUUAACUUCUGGGAGAAGCAAGCAUUUGCACCCUCAGUUUCCGCUGGGACUGACCUGAUGGCUUAUUAAAUCAUCUGAUUUCUCACACUGUGGGGUGGCCUGGGGCAGUCAUUCUGUUCUUCAAGACGCUGGUGAGACCAUGCACUUUGCUGUGCUCUGGUCUCUGCUGGGGAAGGCUCAGGGCUCACAGCCAUGACUCACAGCUGGGUGCUGCCCUAUAUGCUUUCUCCAUGCAGCGACCUUGGCCUUGCUCACAGCAGGGUGGCUUCAGAAGGGAGUCCACUUUCUUACCUGGGGGUUGGCUUGAAGAGAGAGACAGUGGAAGCAGGGAGCCGUCUGCACUGUGACUGUCAAACCCGAUCGAGGCCAGAUCCUGGCAAAGCAGCUGUAAGAGUCACAUCUGGACCGGCCUGCAGUCAGCCCACGCAAGGGCAGCCUGGCGCUGGUAUUGAUUUGCUGGAAGAAGCAAAUAAGACAGCAUACUCACUUAGGCACUCUGUUGGCUACAUCAGAUGCAAGUCAUCUCAGUUCUUAGCAGCCGGCAGGAUCAAUAUCCGGCCCAUAUGCCCUUGGUCCACUGUAUGAACAGUGACCAGUGGGCUGUGCAUGACAGGCCAGAGAGGCCCAGGCCUCUGGAGAAGAUGGAGGAGCUGGGUCAGUGACCUCGGCCUUACCCCUCCCUGGGUCAUUCUGAGCAUGGUGUUCGAACAGUGUCAGAGCUCCAUAGCGAUCGGCUUCCAUGGGUUCGGCUGGGACUCUUGGAGCCACCUGUCAUUAACUUGCACCCUUUCUCAGCCUCAUAUUCCCAACCUCUCAAUGUGUUUCAUGGGGGUGGGGGGUCACCUCCCAAACUGAUCAACUGGAUCCAUAUGGCUGCUUUGGGGGAAGCCACCAAACCUGAGACAUAGAUCAUUAACAUGCUUAAAAUAUUUGGUAAAAGAAAUUUAUUGAUUUAUUUGAAAGGCAGAGUGACAGAGACACAGAGGCAGAGAGAGAGAGAGAGGGAGGGAGGGAGGGAGAGAGAGAGAGAGAGAGAGGUCUUCCAUUCGCUGUUUAACUCCCAGAUGGUUGCAACAGCUUGAGCUGAGCUGAUCCAAAGCCAGGAGCCAAGAGCUUCUUCCAGGUCUCCCAUGCAGGUGCAGGGGCCCAAGGACUUCAACCAUCUUCUACUGCUUUCCCAGGCCAUAGCAGAGAGCUGGCUGGGAAGUGGAGCAGCCGGGACUUGAACCAGCACCCACAUGGGAUGCUGGUACUGCAGGUGGUGGCUUUACCUGCUACGCCACAGUGCCAGCCCCGAUACAAUUAUGAUAGGUAAAGUUGUUGCAUGCUUUUUUUUUUUUUUUUUUUUGACAGGCAGAGUUAGACAGUAAGAGAGAGAGACAGAGAGAAAGGUCUUCCUUUUUCUGUUGAUUCACCCCCCAAGUGGCUGCUACCGCAGUUGUGUUGUGGCCAGCGCACCGCGCUGAUCCGAAACCAGGAGCCAGGUGCUUCCUCCUGGUCUCCCAUGCAGGUGCAGGGCCCAAGGACCUGGGCCAUCCUCCACUGCACUCCCGGGCCACAGCAGAGAGCUAGACUGGAAGAGGAGCAACCAGGACGGAACCAGUGCCCCAACCGGGACUAGAACCCCGGGGUGCUGGCGCCGCAGGCAGAGGAUUAGCCUAGUGAGCCGCGGCGCUGGCCGUUGUUGCAUGUUUUUGAAACACUUGGAGAUUCUACUUCCUGGCUUCAUAUUUCAGGUGGAAACCUGGUGGUGUCCAUGUGCAGACUGACAAUGCUCCAUCUUCAUUUCCAGGGUGGAGCAGCUUGCUUUGAAGGCCUGACUUCCCAACAACUCCCAAACAGUUACAAUUCCGCCCUCUGUUUAGUCUGAGAAUGGAGAAAAGGGGUGGGAUGAGAAGUGAGUUGUAGGGAAGGGAGUGUACUAUUGAGGAAAGAGGUGGUGCUGUGAAAUGUUAGUCUGUUUUAAUUAUUUUUUGUUUAUUAUUCAUUUGAAAAGCAGAUAGAAAUAGAUGCCAGAGAGAUGACAGAUGGAUGAUAGAUGAUAGAAAUACAGAUAGAUGAUAGAUAGAUAGAGAUAGAGAUGAUAGAUAGAUAGAUAGAUAGAUAGAUAAAGAGAAGCAGAGAUUUCCUAUUCGCUUUUACUUCCUAAAUGCCUGCAACAGGCAGGACUGGACCAAGCCAGAGCCAAGAGCCAGCAAUUCAAUCCAGGCCUGCCCUGUAGGCAGCAGGAACCCAAUUAUUCAAGCCAUCCUCACUGCCCUGCCACCCAGGGUGUGUGAAUUAACAGGAGGCGAAAGUCAGGAGCCAGCGCUGGGACUCCGGCCCAGGCACUCUGGUACGGGAUGCAGGCAUCUCAGGCAAGGGCCUCAAACACUUGUCCCAGGUGGGGUCUUAUUCUAAGGGGAUUGGACCUUGAUUUCCAGGAGAAGAAGUCUGGAAAUGCAGAGAUAGAAAAGGGGAGAGAGAGAGAGAGAGAGAGAGAGAGAGUGGGAGGGAGGCGAGAGGAUGGAAGUGUGAUGAGCACGAGGUGAGGGAGACGUAGAAGAACCAGGAAGGGCAGGAUUAGCUCAAGGUGAAUUUUAUGCUCUUCGCAGAAAUACUUUUAUUCCCCCCAAACACUCAUUUAACUCUCCCCUCCCCCAACAUAAGUGCUUCUACAAGGCUAUUUUCGCUUUCUCAUGAAACACAGAAUUAAAAGCUAGAUUUCUUUUGGCGCAUGACUGUUUUGAAUUCAUGUGUAUUAGGGACUUCUGAAAGGUUCAUUGGAAUUGUGUAUCUUGAAAACUUCAUGGAUUUCAAGGUUUUCAGCUUGUGCGCCCACGUGUGUACAUGCCUCUCUGUGUGUGUGUGUGUGUGUUGAUGGAAUUAAAGCACAGCUCUUGGGUUCUCCCUGAAGACAGUUGAAAUGGAGGCCAAGCAUGCCCAGAGCUAGGACUGGGAAAGACCAGGCCAAAGUACAAGCGAUUGGGAGGUCAUGGGUUUGUAGAGGUUUGCUAAGGUUUUUUUUUUAUUUUUUUAAAUUUAUUUAUCUAUCUGAAAGAGUUACACAGAGAGAGAAGGAGAGGCAGAGAGAGAGAGAGAGAGAGAGAGAGAGAGAGGUCUUUCAUCCAUUGGUUCACUUUCCAAUUGGCCAUAAAUGUGCCGAUCCGAAACCAGGAUCCAGGAGCUUCUUCUGGGUCUCCCACGUGGGCACAGGGGCCCAAGGACUUGGGCCAUCUUCCACUGCUACCCCAGGCCAUAGCAGAGAGCUGGAUUGGAAGAUAGCCGGGACUGGAACCGGUGCCCAUAUGGGAUGCUGGCAGGUGGCCUUAUCCGCUACGCCACAGCUCCAGCCCCCUGCUAAGGUCUUCAGGAGGAUGUGGAGUAUCCCCAAGUUGGAGCAGAGAGGAUUGAAUUAAAUGUCUGUGAAUGUCAAGGGGGCAGCAGGAGCUGAUGUCUGCACUAGAUCACCUGCGCACUUUCCCAGUGUGGCUUUGCCAGAGGUUGAAGAACAGGUUUAAAUGUGAGUCCAUGCCAGUGCUGUGGCAAAGUGGGUAAUGGUAGCUUUGGGAUCCGCAAGGAGGGAUGCCCUGUAUCUAUAAAAGGAGCCCACCCAACCUCUGAUGCGUGACUUCCCUGGCCCCUGCUCUGUUGCUCUAUUGGGCCCGGGGAACCUCGCUCGGGAGCAGAAUCCCAAUAAAAGCUCGUGAAUUAAUUGAUUCAUCUGCCUGGGAAGAUUUGUUAUGCACCAGACACCUUGCAGGUAAAGCCGGCUCCUGCAGUGCAGCAUCCCAUAUGGGCACCGGUUCGAGUCCUGGCUGCUCCACUUCCAAUCCAGCUCUCUGCUAUGGCCUGGGAAAGCAGUGGAAGAUGGCCCAAGUCCUUGGGCCCCUGUACCCAUGUGGGAGACCUGGAGGAAGCUUCUGGCUCCUGGCCCCUGGCUUUGGAUAGGCUCAGCUCUGGAAGAAGCUCCUGGCUCCUGGCUUCAGAUUGGCACAGCUCCAGCCUUUGUGGCCAACUGGGGAAUGAACCAGCAGAUGGAAGACUUCUCUCUCUGCCUCUGCCUCUUUGUAACUCUGUCUUUCAAAUAAAUAAAUAAAUAUUAAAAAAAAAAAAGUGAAUCUACCAUGUUCCCAUCCUGGGGUAGCACCAAGCACCUGGGACCAGGGGUGAUGGUGGAGAAGGGGGGACGCUGGCUCUCUUAACUCCAAGAACCUUGCACCUUCCCUAUCAGUGUCAAUCAAACGGACGUCACCAGCAUCAUCUGGCUCCUGGCUUCUGUUGACCUUUCCCCUGGAUUGGGGGAGGUGGGGGCUUGUGGGAAGAACAGAACUACAUUAGUUUCUUAAAGUGUUUAUCUUGCGGUGCGGAAAUGACGGGGUUGCACGGAACUGUGUUUACGUGACGUGAGCGUAGCAGGCAGACGGCUGGCUCGGGUGGAUGGGUUAGUCAGCCUCAAUUAGUCUCAGAGCAUCCUCGCCGCGGCUUGGGAAAUCUAGAUCCUUCCAGUGUAAGCUUCAGUAGUUUUCCUUUGGGUGGGGGUAGGGAGUGGGGGUGGGGGAGGAGUCUUCAGAAGGCAGGUGCAUGCUAGGCCAGCCCCCAGGGAGUUUCACGUGCAAGGAUCAUAGGUUAGGACCUCCAGCGGCCAAGGAGGAUGCAGAUAUCACACUCGCGGGCGUCGGAUGAGCACGUGCAUCCCCUGCCAGGAGACGGUUGUCGAGAAGGCCUGUGGGGGAGGGGCUGAGGGAGGAGCUUGCAUCACGGACAUCCAGGGAGAUGACCCACUGCGUGUCCUGUCUGUCCCAGCCUCUCUUCAGAGUCUCCCUGGGUGUGUCCCAUGGCACCCUGAGCACACACAUGGAGGAGCCCUUGCUCAGCAGAAAGAUCAGCCACAGGAGAAGGGGGCAGAAGAUACUCACCCUCCACUUCCUUGUCGAACUUCUACUUGUCUUCAAAACCCGAUGUUGUGGCACAGUGGGCUAAGCCUCCGCCUGUGACGCCAGGCUCCCAUAUGGGUGCCGAUUUGAGUCCUGGCCGCUCUGCUUUGGAACCAGCUUCCUGCUAUUGCACCUGGGAAGGCAGUGGAAGAUGGUCCAAGUGCUUGUGCCCCUGCCACCUAUGCGAGAGCCCUGGAAGAAGCUCCUGGCUCCUGGCUCCAGCCUGGUCCAGCCUUGGCUGUUACAGCCAUUUGGGGAGUGAACCAGUGAAUCACACACCUUCCAGGGCCAGGCAACAGCACAAGUUAAGAUGGAUCCAGGUAAUGGGGCAAUCGGGAGUGGUAGGGACCAUAGCCAAAACCGAGCAGCUGGUCCCCGCCCAGAAGGGGAGCUGCUAUUCCGUCCCAUCUGAUGUGGGCAUGUGGUGAUAUGGGUCCCACUUUUCUAGAUCUUCCACUUUUACCAGCCAUCCUUCACUGCUUUCCCAGGUACAUUGGCAGGGAGAGGGAUGGGAAGUGAAGCAGCCAAGACUUGAACCAGGGCUCUUAUGGGUUGCUGGCACUGCAGGCUGCAGUUUAACCCACUAAGCCACACCACCAGCUCCUAAACAUCUGGAUAAAUAUUUAGGUGUGUUUUGGACCUUAAGCAUCUACAAAUAGUGGUUCAUUAUUCAUUCAACAUCUAUUCUGUUUUUCUUUUCAUGCUUAAAAUGUUUCCAUUUCUGAUUCUUAAUUUACAUGUCAUCACAUCUUUUUAAAAAAAUACUACAUCUACACGUGUGUGUAUUCUGAUGAUAAGCUCCUUCAGUCCUCCAUAAAAAAAGACCCAUAAACAUUUUCAUCCCUGGGUGAUGCUAUGGAGUGGGAUAGAAUUGAAUGCCUUUUAUAUGACUCGCGUUCUUAUUGUGAACAAUGUUGCCAAACCCUUUGAAUCUGAAAUGAAUUUUGCCAUGUAUGUGGAUGGAUGUUUCUAGCUAACCAAAGUCUGCCAGUCUCCUAAAAAGACACAAAACAAGAAGAUGCAUGCCUUUUGUGUUCUUUCCUUUAUAUCUGCAGCAAAGCUGUGAUAUGUUGGGGCUGGCAUUGUGGUGGAGUGGGUAAAGCUGAGGCCUGGAGUGCCAGUGUCCCUUAUGGGCACUGCUUUGUGUCCUGGCUGCUCCAUUUCCUAUGCAGCUCCCUGCUAAUGGCCUGUGACUCAAACAAGUGCUCCAAUAUGGUGGCAGCAUAACCCACUAGUCCCGCCCUUGAUGCUUUGAGAUUCUUUUUUUUUUUUUUAAUUUCCUACCUCAAAGUCAGAAUAUAUGUUCCCCUUUUAAUUUUUAAAGAUUUAUUUAUUUACUUGAAAGUCAGAGUUACACACACACAUACACACACGAGAGAGAGAGAGAGAGAGAGAGAGAGAGAGAGAGAGAGAGAGAGGUCUUUCAUCCUCUGGUUCACUCCCCAGUUGGCCACAACAGCCAAAACUGAGACAAUCCGAAGUAAGGAGCCAGGAGCUUCUUCCGGGUCUCCCACAUGGGUACAGGGGCCCAAGGACUUGGGCCAUCCUCCACUGCUUUCCCAGGCCACAACAGAGAGCUGGAUCAGAAGUGGAGCAGCCAGGACUCAAACCGGCGCUCAUAUGGGAUGCCGACACUGCAGGCUUUACCCGCUAUGCCAUGGUACCAGCCCCUGUUCUCCUGUUUUAUGCUAAAAGCUUUAUCCUUUUACUUUUCAUAUCUUAGUCUCCUAUCUAUUUCAUAGCGAUUUAUGUGUAGAUAAGAAGUUGGGGGGUCACAGUUCAGUUUUUUUCUUUCACGCAGAGCACUGAUCAGCCAAGCAAAAUUUUGAAGAAUCCACCACUCUCCUUCUGCCUUUUGGGGAUCCCUUGGUGUAAAUAAUGAGGCACUACACUCUCCAACUUUCCUCAUGGCUCGUUAAAAAUGUUUUUAAAUUGUUGAUUUAUUUUAAUCUACCUGAAAGGGAGGGAGAGAGAGAGAGAGAGAGAGAGAGAGAGAGAGAAGUUUUCCAUCCUCUGAUUCACCAUCCAAAUGUCCAUCAUGUCCAGGGCUGAGCCAGGUCAAAGCCAGGAGCAAGGAGCUCCCUCAGGGCCUCCCAUGUGGGUAUCAGGACCCCAGCACUCUGCUAGAGGAAGCAGGUGUUCCCAAGUGACAGCUGCAUCUGCUGAGUCAGCCACAAUGCCCACCCUGCUCGUGGUUCUUCUGCGCCAUCAUGAGUGUUUUAAGGACCCGUGUCCAGAUUAUACUCACACAAAGAAUUCUUACAGAAAAAGCCCAACAGCCAAACACAACUGGGCUAUUAAAUUUCAUAGGUGGCCAAGUCCAUUCUAAUUCUUUGCUUGUAAUUGACUAUUUAACACGCAUGUGCUGAGUGCCUGCGUCGCACCAGGCAGAGAAAGAGUGAAACUUGUUAUCGUUCUCAUUUAUUUAUUUACUACUUUCUUCCCCUGUGUGUUUUUCACAUUCCUUCUUGGGACGUGACGAGACAGAGACAAAUGUCCCAGGGUUUUGAAAGCUGCAGAGCUGAAUAUGGACAGAAAUGCAUGGUGGAGGCUACGGCGAUGGUCCCCGUGGACACGGCAGAGGCAAGGGUGCCGGGGUGGGAUGGUGCUACUCCAGGUGCAGGUUCUUGUUUUUGUCACAGACUGGGAAAGGCCCAGCUGGAAUGCACGCUAAUUCACAGCACCAUCAGUGAUUCAUGCCAAACACUCAAGACAUUCAAAAAUGCAGGAACUCUCAUUUUCUGCAAAGAAUAGAAGAAACCAAAAAGCCAGCCAGGAAAAUGGGUGAAAGUUAAACGACCAAAUAACUUACAGCUGACUCUCAACUUUGACAAAAGAGUUAUGAAUUGGGACUCUAACACAAUGCUCCCUAUCGCCAGACACAUCCUGUGUGUUCAGGAAAAGUCGUGUACCCUGUUUCAGCCUUGUCAUGGUAAGCGUUGACUAAGGAGAUUUGCCAUCCUUUGUCAAAAGACUUCAGGGGAAGAUCAUACAGUUGUGUUUAAGGUUAGCAUGGACAUUCUUUGGCUACACAUGCAGCCUGCAACAGCCAGAAGAGGAAAGUUGUAAAUCCAGAGUGAGUGGGAAGGAAAGAACUUGGAAUCCCUGUGUUUAUGGGUCAGCUGGGGGGAUCCAAACAUUAGAAUGAUUGCAAUGAUUUUUAGAAGCAUCCCACUGCAGAGCUAAAAUGUGCGUGUUACCAGGAUGGGACAUUUCGUUAGCUUAAUGGGCAAACUUUGCUUUAAUCACAAGAUUGAGGUUUUUUUUUUUUUAAAGAUUUAUUUAUUUGAAAGUCAGAUUUACACAGAGAGAAGAGGAGAAGCAGAGAGAGAAAUCUUCCAUUUGGUUGUUCACUCCCCAAUUGACCACAAUGGUUGGAGCUGUACCAAUCUGAAGCCAGAAGCCAGGAGCCAGGAGCUUCUUCUGGGUCUCCCAUGUAGGUUCAGGGCCCCAAGAACUUGGGCCAUCUUCUACUGCUUUCCCAGGCCUUAACAGAGAGCUGAUCAGAAGUGAAGCAGUCAGGACUUGAACUGGUGCCCAUAUGGGAUGCUGGUACUGUAGGCGGUAGCUUUACCCGCUACACCACAGCGCCAGCCCCAAGACUGAGGUUUAUAUAAGCCAAAUCUCCAGUGAGAUCUUGAAAAAGAAUUCUAUGACCCCUCCUCAAAGUCUUUCUUAUUACACAUGGAGAGAAGUCUCCUUCCUCCUUUUUGCUUUUGACUGUGAGCCCCACGGGUUUGGGCAGCGCUGAGUUUCUGACGGUUAGAAAAGCAAGCCAAGUUCAACACCGCAGGUGUCAGGUAGCUGCUGCCAUUUCUGCUGCUUGGAACUCAGCCAAAAUUGGUCCACACUGCGGCAGAAUGCAAACCACUCUGCCGAUCUUCCUGGUACAAAGAAGCACAUUGCUACGGACACACCAUGCAGGCUACCUGGCGUACUAAAGAAUGUGAUGGAUUCAAGUCCUGAAUCCAUGUGUACAGCGUGUGGGGGGAGUGGCCUUCCUCCCUGGAGACCUAUCCCUACCUGACAGGUGAGCAGAGGAUGUGAAAAUACCACAGGUACCGGGUACGAAACUUUCCUUUUGGGGUGAGUAAUCAUUGAGUGUCGGCAAUUAAGCACGGUUCUGUUGAACAGGAUGGCGUUCUUAGCCUGUCAGAAACCCACUCUCUGUUCUUGUCUGUCACUACUUUGGAUAUAAAAAUCUAUCUGUUCAAUCAGAAGGCAUUAUUGAAUGUGCAGCAAGCACCGUGUUAUGUGGAAAACAUAAAAAUAGUCAGGGUCAUUGGAAGGGUGGGCUUUGCCAAAUAAUCAGUGAGUCCAUAAAUUUGCAAGAGAACCAUUCAUAGGAACGAAUUUGGCAGGUGCCUGAAAUGUGAGUCUGUAUGCAGGUACCAGCGCAACGUGUGCUCAGGUAGCAUCUUGCCACGCACCGGAAGGAAGUGACGCAAAUUGCGGGGUGAUGAGGCGACCACAUGGUGGAAAAGCACCCGAGGCGGAAGACGAGACAUUCCCCAAGCCAGGCGACACUUUGUCCGCCUGCUGCCUCCUUUUUCACACAGGGACAUGGAGCACACUGCUCCCACCUGCAGGGGACGUCCUGCCACUCCUGCCAAAGGUGUCAUCCUGCACUGUUUAUUUUUUCUCCUUAAUUAACCUUAGCUCUGUCCAUCACAGUGCACCUGGUUUACUUUCUGUGUUUUCAUGGCUGCGUAGCAUCUGUGAGGUGAGUCCGAUAGUCUAUUUAGAUGCUCCCCUGUGGCCUUGGAGGUGGCUCUGCAUCCAUUCCUGUUGGUUUUGUCCAUCUGCCCAGCACUCUUUAGAUCCUACUACCGAAGUCCAUCACCACCUUUUGCUGAAGCAUUCAGCAGGGGUUUUGGCGGAGGCAGGGAGGUAGCCAGCUAGGAGGACCCGGCGUCACCAGCCCCUCCCUGCAGCCCUGCCUGUACCACUCAACACUCUCCCUGCCACCUCCACUCUUUUGCUGCUCAGAAGUGGCACAGUCCAAAAUAACCCACGUGCUGGCUGCCCACCUCCCUGUGGUGACCUUAUGCUGAUCCAGUUAUCAUGGCUGACACUCCUAUUCCCAUCAUGCACCUGCUGCUAUGACACUUCUGAGUUUUCCAAAAUAGAGCAAGGAAAUGGGCGGUGCUGAAGCCCCACCCAAACUCCACCUCUUAUGAAUAUUCAAUUAAACCCCACCACAGACACCACUCCCUGUGCCCCCAGAUCCUAUAAAGGGAGGGCCCCCAAGAGAAUGAAGCUCUCUCUUGAACAUGGCUGCUCUCCUUAGUGUGUACUUUCACUUUGUGUGCAAAUAAUCUCGCUUCUCUGCAGACCUUUACCUGCAUUUCAUCUUGAAUUGUUUCUUGCGUAGGAGACCAGAACCUGGACCCAGCCACCCCGUGUCAGAGGCAUGCUUCGUCGGUAUAAGUGAACUUAUGCUCUGCUGACCUGGAGGAGGAAUGCUUCCAGCCAGAGACAUAACAAUGCUUCCAUUGAAAGGGAAGUUAAAAUGCCCAUCUAACUGCUUUUGGCUCCUUGUUGCCUCGGAAUCAGCGGGAGGAGAAAGGGGUUACUCGGCUGGUAGAGAAUCAAUUCCAACUUCUGAGAGAAAUCUGACUAGCACUCCACAAUGGAGGGUAGAGAGAGUGUGGUUGGGAUGCAGAGAUCCCCUAGGGUGUCUCCUGGUAUCUCCAGCAUCAGCAAGCCCUGUGAUUGAGACCAGUAGAAAAUUACAACACAGUCCGGGCAGGACUGCUGAUGGCCUGGGCCAUUCAGCAACGAGGGUUGGGUCAAUCUAGGCAGAGAACCAUGAGUAACUACGAUGCUAUUUGAAAGCCAAGGGGAUGUGGGAUGAGUAGGGGAAGAAUGGAAUUAUAAAAACUAGCUAUGACCACGCAGCCGGACAAAUAUCUUUGUUUUCUUCCCUCCCUUAUUCCUCUGUCCUAUAACAUAAGAUGUGUUAAGUUCUUAUAGGAUUUAAGUGGAGAUACUAAAGAGAAGAGUGAGCUCUACUCCCACUCCAGAGAAGGGAUGAAUGAGUUUUCUGGUAUAUACAGGGUGGUUGUCUCAUGUCAGAUGGAAUUAUAACCCAAAUUUUGUCUUUAUUCAGAGAUUAAGUAUGGCUAAAGCGCUGUGUAUGGCUGACAAGUUGAUCGGGAAUGCAUUUGUGAUGGUCCAUUGUGUGGGUCACAGGACUGGCAGGUGUCCGGUGGCUGGCACUGUGGCAUAGAAGCUUAAGCCUCCACCUGUGGCGCUGAUAUCCCAGGUGGGCACUGGUUCAAAUCCUGGCUGCUCCACUUCCAAUCCACCUCCCUGCUAAUGCAUCUGGGAAAGCAGUACAAGAUGGCCCAAGUGCUUGGGUCCCUGAAGCCACUUGGGAGCUCUAGAAGAAGCUCCUGGCUCCUGGCUUUGGUCUGGCUCAGCCCUGGCUGUUGCAACCAUUUGGGGGAGUGAACCGGUGAAUGGAAGAUCUCUCUCUCUCUCUCUCUCUCUCUCUCUCCCUCUAUCUAUCUAUCUAUCUAUCUAUCUAUCUAUCUCUGCCUUUCAAAUAAAUAAAUACAUCUUUUAAAAAUACAGUUGUUCUCUAUUUUGUAAGUAUUGGUUCUUACAUAAUGUGGUUUCUGCAUUUCAGGUGUGAACAGAGUGAGAGGGAUACUCUACAAACAGUUAUUCCUGUGCAUACUAAGAGAAGAAGCAAUGUUUUGGGAACCUGGGCCUGGGUCCACUCCCUUUAGAGUUAUUCGCUAAGUUGGAAAUGCACUAGACUGGAUGUUUUCCAAGGUUGAAAAGUUCUUGGAGCUUUUAUCUUUUUUAAUCCAUUUGAAAUCUUGGGAAAUGGUCACGACUUGCAGUUUCUGAUUAGUGGCCAGUUUGUUUCCUUUGGAGGGUGAAUGAAGUGAUGAUUUCAGACCAGCUGGGCACACCCCUGUCACACAGGCACGCCCCCAUCCCGGCCUCAGCAGGUUCACGGCAAACGCACACGCACACUUCCAACGCUCACACCCAUGCUGACUCAGCACAGGGCGCCAUGUGCUAGGAUCGCCAGAUAAAACACAGGGGGCAGGAUGGUCAGCAAAACUGAAUCUUAGAUAAAGAAUGAGCACUUCUCUUAGGGGAAGAAUUUCCUGUGCAAUACUUGAGACAUACGCUAAAAGUAUCUGCUGUGUAUUAGAAGUUUAUUGUCAAACCUGGCGACUUUAACAGGCACCAAUAUCAUACAUACACUCACAGUGUAUGUAAUCAUACAUGCACACGCAGUAUCCAUCCAUGCCUGCACACGGGAGCAUGCAUGCCUUUCCCGCUGCGUUGUCCGUCCAUUGUCGACUUGUUCAUUAGAAACGCCAGAAACCCUCAAAUAAAGAGCGAUUUAC